UCCGCCUCCCUCUGCUGCCGGGUCUGAAGGAUGCUCAGCUGUUCCAGGAAGCGAAGCUUCACCUCCUGUGCCGCCUUCACCUGUGGGGAUCACCAGUCCCCGAGCUGAGGACGAAGAAUGGCGAGGAACUCAAUGUAUGACCAUAGAAACUGAGUCACUGGGCACCUGAGGGAAGGCGCAUCUGACAAAGGGAACACAGGGCUGGUCCCAGACCUUUGCUCAGUUUCCGCUGAACUGGAAAAGCCAGCGUGAGUGGGAUGAGAAAGACGCGUGGAGCCAGGAAGGAACCAGACCCAGAGGAAAAAAGACAGUGGAGAAUCCAUCACAGGGACUCCAUUUGUCUGGUUCAUGCCACAUCCUCAGACCUGGCACAGUUAGGUGUUCAGAACAUAUUUGUUGAAUAAAUAAAAUG